UUUUCUUUUUUUUUUUUUUUAGAAUAAAAAUCCCUUUCUGUAAAUAUCCCCACACUUCUUUUCCCUCUGUUUUUUGGGAACGGCACCGUGUUUCAAGUAGAAAAAGAAAGGUAGGCCUCGGCCCAGACCUCUAACAUUAUGUAAAUGAGGCAAAGCUCUCAACCUCGUGGAUUACCGAGUCAGAGAGCAGGACCCCAGUCCACAGACCCUCCACAUUAGGAUCCCAUAAAAAUCUGUCUCUUGUUGGCUGCAUCCAACGCGUAUAAAAGCUUUGAAUUGAUAUGAUUUUUUUCAGUAUUUUUUUUGUAAAAGUAAGUUUUGAAAGCAGUGAAUAAAAAUGUGGGAGAAAAGCAGCGGGAGCAGGAUGCACGGACCUGACGGAGACACGUGGAGGAGACUGAGCCCAGUGGUUCCUUCUGUCUGAAAGGAUGUCAGCUGUCUGUGCCGGGCCAUCUCUGAGUACGCUUGAUGUCAUAUCGUCUACCUGAUCAUUACGCUACCUGCUCUCCUCUACAAUGCUGCCCUCUCGCUGCUCCGCCACUUGAAACGCUCGGCUGACCUCUUCGCUGAAACCAUCAUGAAAUUGUGGGCUAAAACGCUGCAGACUGUUCCUCUCCUCCCUUCAGCCAUGAGUGCAGGAGCCAUAAAAAGAUUCCUCCACUCGGAUGACGACUUCUGCUGCUGCUGCUCAGCCGGCUGGAAAACCAACAAUUCAAGCUUGAGCGUCACCACUCCAGCUUCUGUUUGUUUUCUUGUUGUUUGCAGUUUACUUCUGCACUGCAAGCAAAUAAACUCAGUGGACAGA